AACUAGACAAGGAGGAGAGAACGAGGAGGAAAACAGCAGGAAAAGGCAGGAGAAGUUGGUGGGGGAUCCAACAAAGGAGGAAAAGAGAACGUAGGGUCAGACAUAUUAAAACAUCUCCCAACAAACAUGAAAGGAUGACCCAAACUGCAGGAGUGAAGUCAAACGGCUGGAGGAGAGGAAGAAAGCGGCAUGAGGAAAUGAAGGAAAUGAUGUGACAAGAGAGGCAGUGUGUGGAGGCAGGAUCUCGGGGAGUGUGUCACUGUUUUGUAGGCAGCAAUUCUGGACUCCAAGGUCAGCUGAUAAACACCACAUUCACAAGUGGAGAGCAGAGGAAGGUGGAGAUCCCGCAACACCCAGUUCCCGCUUCUUUCAGUCGGAGCCGAGCAUUCGCCUCAAUUAAUCACCGGAAUUGUUACACCGUGGCCAGUGAGGUGAUGGUAAAAAAUUUACGUCAGGCAACCAAACCAGUGAAGGAGCCAGGGCGAAGGGGACCAAUGUGCGGCAUCCAAGGCGGGAGCAGCUAUGUAAAACACUUGCCUUAAGUCAGCCGCAUCCGGUUAAUAUUUAAUCCCUCUAUCCAUCUCCACAAAGAGUGUUUCUCUUUUACCUUUAGCUGCCGUU